CGCGGCCUAUCAGCUUGUUGGUGGGGUAACGGCCUACCAAGGCUUCGACGGGUAGCCGGCCUGAGAGGGUGACCGGCCACACUGGGACUGAGACACGGCCCAGACUCCUACGGGAGGCAGCAGUGGGGAAUAUUGGACAAUGGGCGAAAGCCUGAUCAAGCAACGCCGCGUGAGGGAUGACGGCCUUCGGGUUGUAAACCUCUUUCAGCAGGGACGAAGCGAAAGUGACGGUACCUGCAGAAGAAGCACCGGCCAACUACGUGCCAGCAGCCGCGGUAAUACGUAGGGUGCAAGCGCUGUCCGGAAUUAUUGGGCGUAAAGGGCUCGUAGGCGGUCUGUCGCGUCGGGAGUGAAAACUCAGGGCUUAACCCUGAGCCUGCUUCCGAUACGGGAAGACUAGAGGUAUGCAGGGGAGAACGGAAUUCCUGGUGUAGCGGUGAAAUGCGCAGAUAUCAGGAGGAACACCGGUGGCGAAGGCGGUUCUCUGGGCAUUACCUGACGCUGAGGAGCGAAAGUGUGGGGAGCGAACAGGAUUAGAUACCCUGGUAGUCCACACCGUAAACGUUGGGCGCUAGGUGUAGGACUCAUUCCACGAGUUCCGUGCCGCAGCUAACGCAUUAAGCGCCCCGCCUGGGGAGUACGG
rnacentral:rRNA from 1 species